UGAGAGCAGAGCAGAGAUCAGAUCGUUUUCUUCGAGUGAAGUUGAAAAUGGCGACGACAGCUUGUUUUAUAAUAGUAAGCCGAAACGACAUUCCGAUAUAUGAAGCUGAAGUUGGAUCUGCUGCUAAAAGAGAAGAUGCUGCUCAGCUGCAUCAGUUUAUUUUACACGCAGCUCUCGAUAUUGUUCAGGAUCUCGCUUGGACCACCAGUGCAAUGUUCUUGAAAUCAAUUGACAAGUUCAAUGAUCUGGUUGUCUCAGUUUAUGUUACUGCUGGUCAUACGAGAUUUAUGCUACUUCAUAACCCUCACAAUGAUGAUGGAAUUAAGAGCUUUUUCCAGGAUGUUCAUGAGCUUUACAUCAAGACUCUUCUGAAUCCUCUCUACUUACCUGGCUCCCGCAUCACAUCAUCACAUUUUGAUACUAAAGUUCGUGCACUUGCAAGAAAGUAUCUGUAAACACUUUCAUGGAGUUUUGGAUAGAGUUUCCAUGAAGAUGAAACAGCGCUGAAGCUUGGUAAUAAUGGCGAAUCAAGUGGAAGCAAAAAGGAAUUAUAUUAAAGACUACGAAACUCUAGAACCUUGUAGAAAAUUCGGAAAUAUAGUUCCGAAGUGUGGUAUGGAGAAAGGCCAACGCGGGAAGUAUAACCUCGGAAGAUCUACUAUUAUACGACGAGGCCGCCAUGGUUAAUUAUAAAAUACGACAGAUUAUGUCUUGUUAUAUGUUAAUAUUCACAUAUUAUAUAAGGGAGGUGGUGUAAGUAUUCCCGUUUGUUCAAUAAUUACUUUGAUGAAACGAAGUGGUAAUACCAGUUGAACAAGAAUAUAAUUGAACCGUUUUAAUUUUUCUUCUUCUUCAAAAUAAGUAUUAAUGAUAUAUUUAUAUCUUUUCUAAAUGUAA